CUCAGUGGCUGCUGGGCUAAGGAAGUGCUGAUAGGUGGCACUGUGAGACCGAGAGAGCAGCCUCCGUGCCAGCUCCCCUCUGUGCUCAUGGCUAGGCUUGGCCAUGAUUCCUUCCUUCCUCCUCUGCAAGACACGGCUUCAUUAUGGUGCAACGGGGAGUUCCAGCUAAUGUUACUCUUGCUUCACCAAAGAAUUCAAGCACAUCUAGGAACAAGGACUAAAGAACACAGUGUUCUAUUGCGGGGGGAGCCAUCGAAGAAGAGGGACAGAAAGAGGCAAUCUUCAUAAUCAAAUUGGUGGCAGCACUUAGGGAUGACUCCAAGCUUCCCCAUCUCUCCUGAAGGAAUGGAGCCCAAGCUGCCUCAUCCCAGCCAGAGAGCCCCUCUGCGUAAUCCUCGGAGUGGGUGGCUGACAGCAAAGAUGAAUGGAUUUAAUCACACUGCUUAGAGGGCACCAUCUGAAGUUUCGUGUAUGAGGAGGAAGCUGCUGGCCUGGCCCUUAUGCAUUGCUUUUCCUUCUGGCAACCUGUGAGCAGGGACUGCACUGUCAGACCACAAUAAUCAGCCUACAGCUACAAACUUUAAAAGAAAGAGAGAAAUUAAAUUAGAAAUGAGAACCAGUAAAAGCCAAAAAUCUUUUUAAAAGGCAGUUUUCUUAAGCAGACAGCAGUCUGUAUCUUCAAGAACCAUUAGAAUCAGUUUCAACCGGGUCUUUUCACCUAAGACUGAGGACCACUUUGCCCAUUGACAACUGUGUAUAUUCUUCAGUUUGCCCUUCAGUGCUGCAGGAUUAGGGAGAAGCAUCCCUCACCUGUGCCCUCCCCAAAUAAAUGACACCAAAAGGAAAUAAGAUUGUACAUGUGUUGAACCUAACAUGAAUAGGACUUAUGCUUCAUGGAAAGAAAUGAGACUCCACUGGAUUCAAUGGCUUAUAUUCCCAGAGUUUGUCGACAAUGGAAGCAGCCCAUGUGUAUGGUGAGAUACCGUCUGUGAGCAAACAGUGCCAAGUCCUGCUGGAACCAGCCGAGCAAGCAGUGCUGAGUGUUCGCUUCUUUAUGAAAGGGAGGACUCAGAGAAUGGUCACCUUACAGAGAGCAAAUGAUGGGAUAAAAAUUGUAGGUAUGGUAGCCCCUUCUGAGGGCAUUUUACCACCAAAACUUCAGGUUUGCAAAGCACACCCAAUGGUUAUAGCUGUCCUGACACAGAAAGUCAGACUUACAGGAAUGCUCUGGAAACUGGUGGUUUGCAGUGAGCAGCCUAUUGCUUUGGAGAAAUCCGCAAGCAGGACUUGAAUCUUUCUUCCCACUGAUGUUCCCCAGCCACAGGGAAGGCAUUUCUUCAAAAUAUUCACAGAGAGGGUACUUCCUACACCCAAAAGCCAUGGCAGGCAAGAGCGGAGCAGAAACCCAGCAAAGUGCCUAGGCUUAUGGAAGUGAAGAUGCAUGCCACGGGAAAAAGAAGUGCCCAGGGCGCUUUCCAGAUUAGAUCCUGCAACUGGGUCACAUCGGAUCUCGGAAGUGUGCUUUCACACUUCCUGCGUUGUGACACCGCAGUCCUUAUGUGGACAGCAGGGUGCCAUUCACAUUGCCAAUGCCUUGUCUUGAAUUUAAUCACUGCACUAUAGAGCUAAGAUGUUGUAUGUCUGGUGUAAGGAAGUUGCUGUUUGGGGGGGUUGUUAGUUGCUGCGAGACUGCUCCCCCUGCUGUUUACAUUUUCAAUGAGACUUGCCUGAACGGAGGCAUUUUGCUGCUCUUGAGCAGCUGGUCUGGAAAGCACCCUAAUGAGGAAGUGGAGGCAUGCCAUAGAGACUGGAGAGACCCGAGUUCAAAUCCCCAUUCAGCCAUGAUACGAGCUGGGUGACUGUGGGCCAGUCACAUCUCUCCCAGACUAACCUACUUCACAGGGUUGUUGUGAGGAGAAACAUAAGUAUGUAGUACACUGCUCUGGGCUCCUUGGAGGAAGAGCGGGAUAUAAAUGUAAAUAAAUAAAUAAAUAAAAUAAUUUGUCCAGACAUCGUCCUACAAUAUUCCACACUGAUUUUUUCAGGAGAAUUUAAAAGUACUCUCUAAAAAGACAGUUACUUCAUGCACUGAAGUGUUGAUUGUCAUGAAAAAAGCUUGGAAGGGCCAUUUGCCAUUUGAACACCCGGGAACUGUUACUGUAGUCAAGCUGCUAUAUAUCACCACCUGGAAAACCAGGCAUGUAGGAAGCCACUGGCAGUGUGGGUGCAACCCACCAGUGGCAGUUCCUAGGUCUCCUAGCCACACCCCCUGUGUCUGACAUCAGAUGCAGGGGGCAGAUGGAGUGGCUCCACAGGGAGUGGUGGCCGGGUUCUCUGGACCCAUCCACACAAUGGUGGCUCCGCCCCUGUGGAAAACUCCUUAUUUCUAGAAAUAUUAAAAAAUGCCUCCUUAAAAAAUGCCUAUCUUAAUUUAAGUUUCAUGCGGACUCCUUUCUAUACAUCAAGUUUCUUGCUCUUCUCACAAAGCAUACCAUUCUUAUGUGGCUUAGCCACAGUGCUGAAAAGGUAUGAUGCAGUGACAACUGCAAAGAUGAUAUUUAUCUUCUUCUGAAUACAAUGUUACUUGCUCACA